rnacentral:rRNA from 1 species
CCUACGGGUGGCUGCAGCAGGGAAUAUUGCGCAAUGAGCGAAAGCUUGACGCAGCGACACCGCGUGUGGGAUGACGGUUCUAGGAUUGUAAACCACUUUCAGGAGGGAAGAAAAUGACGGUACCUCCACAAGAAGACCCGGCCAACUACGUGCCAGCAGCCGCGGUAAUACGUAGGGGUCAAGCGUUGUCCGGAUUUAUUGGGCGUAAAGAGCUCGUAGGCGGUUCAACAAGUCGGUCGUAAAAGUUUAGGGCUCAACCCUAAAAUGUCGAUCGAUACUGUUGUGACUAGGAUACGGUAGAGGUGAAUGGAAUUCCGAGUGUAGCGGUGAAAUGCGUAGAUAUUCGGAGGAACACCAAUUGCGAAGGCAGUUCACUGGACCGUGAUCGACGCUGAGGAGCGAAAGCUAGGGGAGCAAACAGGAUUAGAUACCCUAGUAGU